UACGGGGGGGGCAAGCGUUGUUCGGAAUUACUGGGCGUAAAGGGCUCGUAGGCGGCCAACUAAGUCGGAUGUGAAAUCUCCAGGCUCAACCUGGAGGGGUCAUUCGAUACUGCCGUGACUAGAGGUCGGUAGGGGAGUGUGGAAUUCCUGGUGGAGCGGUGAAAUGCGCAGAUAUCAGGAGGAACACCCGUAGCGAAGGCGGCACUCUGGGCCGAUACUGACACUGAGGAGCGAAAGCGUGGGGAGCGAACAGG
rnacentral:rRNA from 1 species